rnacentral:rRNA from 1 species
UGCCAGCAGCCGCGGUAAUACAGAGGGUGCAAGCGUUAAUCGGAAUUACUGGGCGUAAAGCGCGCGUAGGUGGAUAGUUAAGUCAGAUGUGAAAACCCCGGGCUCAACCUGGGAAUGGCAUAUGAUACUGGCUGUCUAGAGUAUGGUAGAGGGAAGUGGAAUUUCCGGUGUAGCGGUGAAAUGCGUAGAUAUCGGAAGGAACAUCAGUGGCGAAGGCGACUUCCUGGACUAAUACUGACACUGAGGUGCGAAAGCGUGGGGAGCGAACAGGAUUAGAUA